AGGCCACGCCCCCUCUCGCGCGCCGUCCGCUCCCGGCGUGCCCCGCGCCGCCAUGGCCGACCUGUUCGAUGGGAUCGUGAUGGCCGAGCAGAGGUUCCACGGCGAGGGCUUCCAGGAGGGGCUGGCCGAGGGCAGCCACGCCGGCAUGGCCGAGGGCAGGCGGCACGGAGCGCUGCACGGAGCCCGCCUCGGCUCGGAGAUCGGUUGCUGCCUUGGGUUUGCACUGACGUGGCGCUGCCUGCUCCAGAAAUCCACAGAUGAAAAGAGCAGCAAAAAGAUAAGGGCUCUGGAUUCAUUAAUAGGGAUGAUUCAGAAAUUCCCAUAUGAAGACCCCACUUAUGAUAAACUGCAAGAAGAUCUGGAAAAAAUCAGAGGAAAAUUUAAACAGGUUUGUUCAAUGCUAAAUAUCCAGUCUGAUUUUAGAACUCGUGCUGAGAGAUCUUCACUAACAUUUUGAAUGCAACAGAUGAAGACCAGCACACGGUGUGAAAAGUACUUGGAGACAAAGGUUAUGUGACAGCUGAAGGGUUGCAAUGUCCAUCAGAUGGAAAACAGGGGAAAACGGUGAACAGAGCAGCCCCUGUUCACUGCCCCCAGGUCUGGCUGGUGUCUGAGCAGUGCAGCUCUGGUCUGGCAAAAUGUCUCAGCAGAGAAAGAGAAUUUCCACGUGGCCUUGAAAAAGGAAGAAAAUCAAAGCACCCAGGAGUGUGAUUCUCCAGAUGUAAGCUCAGCUCACCUGAUAAACAGGGCCUAAUCUGGGCUGUAUGAAAACAUGAGUGCUUUAGGCAAUUGUUGCCAAGACAUGUUUGGGGAGUUGGAAUGAUUCAAGAUCUCAUUUGAAGGCAGCAGAAACAGAGACAAGUUUUCAGAAGUUGCACAGCUCUCCAUGGACUAAACCUAAAGAUAAAAAGAUCACCUGAAAAAAAUGAGGAAAAAAUACAAAGAAUCAGCCAGUACACAAGAAAAACACCUCUAAAUGCUGCUGAUCUACACUGAAACAUGCCAAUGGCUUCCAUCCUCACAUUCUGUCAGCACAAAGGCACCAAAUGUCCCAGGUUCUGCUCACCCCAGAAUCAGCUCUAUGGAUGCAGAGCGAGGCUGGGCUCAGGCUGGUGGAUAAAAGGAGCAGCAGCAGAACCCCGUGCCUGGAGGAUCCUCACCUCCACAGAGGGACUGAAAAAGGCUCUGAAAGGAAACACACGGCCUCAAUGUGGCAAGUAAACAAACAUCAAUCCAGACUGGGAGAGGCGUCCCUGUGGGCUUUAUCAGUUCUUUUGGAUUCCCAAAGGCCAGAGGCUUUCCGAACUGCGGGGCGGUGAUUUUACCCCAGUCAGGGGGUUCAGGGUUAUAUAAACCAACAAACACCGGGCCCAUAAAUCCUAGAGCUUUUGCUUUAGCCUGCAGCUUACCAAAAGAAAUCCCAUCAGCUUUCCCUGGUGAAACAGCUCCCAGAUUUGCUCCCAGUCACAUACCCUGCUUGAAACACCCUGGGGCAGGACAUCCAAGCUGGGUACAAUGUCAGUGUAAAACUGUGGCCAGCUCUGCCACAGUUGUCCCCAAGGCAGCAAGAAUGUUGCAAAAAUUGUGGAGAUAAAAAGAGGGGUUCCAGCACUAAUGGAGGGCAAGAAGCAGCUCUGAUGAUUUGUUGUGGGGUUGAAUGGAUGCUCCCCGAUAUUGAGGAGCUGUUGGAAGCUGAGUGGGAAGCUGAGGUAAAGCAAAAACAGGGAGCAUGUUUUGAAUGCAGACAACUACUCCAUAUGAUGGGGAGGCAGUAAGAGGCUCAGUGAAAGAACAAUUAGUAUCCCCAAAACUCCUGCAGCUGAGGGGAAAUAUUCUGAAAACACCUGUAGGAGACACUUUAUUUGGUGAACUGUUUACAAAAGGGCCAGAGCCAACUCCUCACAGAAAUUUCUGUGCAAAGCUCAAACAAGAAAUAGAAGCUGAGAUAGAACUCCCGAGAUUAGGGGAGAAUUUAUUUGUAGAUCUGGGAGAAAAAAAAACAGCAAAUAACUGAAUGUUACUAAGUUCUGAGUGUGUGUGGGGGCCCCAAUAUCUGAAGAAUGGCCAGGUAGAGGCCUGGGCUUGGUCCAACUCCUUAAAUGGAACAGGACCAACAUGAAAGAAGGAAACCAGAAGAGUGGAUAUUAAGUUCAAAAAUAAUAGGAGAGGAGUGCUUCUGGCAUUUAGAAAAAGAAUUUUUAGAUAAUGCAGGACAAACUUCCUGUAAAAGGUAUAAAGUUUAUAAUGGAACUUUCAAAUGGUGGAUCCCUGAAAAACUCACAGAGCAUUGGACCCAGGAGAGGAAAAAGAAUUGUAAAUACGAAAAGGAGAUUAAACUUUUCUGGUGCAAUGACCCGGGGAAGAGUCCCUAUUAUGAGAUCCCAGAAAUAUCUAAAUUUUGGGAAAACAUUAAUAACCAAAGAAAGGAACACGGGCAAGCACAGGAUGGCUCAUUCUGGAUAUGUGGGGAAAGGGCUUAUCCAAAACUUCCUCCCCUGUGGGAAGGAGUUGCACUCUGGGAAUUGUACAACCAGGAUUUUUCCUGCUGCCAAACUGAGACAAUUUGGGAAUACUGGUAUAUAACACCUCAUAAAGAAAUAAGAGAGAACUAAGUGGAGAAAUUGAGGGAUACCAAAGGUGGGGCAAAGAGGAGUGGCCAUCUGAAGGGACAGUGCAGACAUAAGGUCCAGCCAUGGGGGCACAAGAUGGGAGUUGGGGGUAUCAACCCCAAUUAAUAAAUGGCAUCAUCAGGCUCCAGGCAGUUGUAGAAAUCACAUCCAGUGAAAAAGGCAGCAAAGGCAAAGCAGAGCUGAGUGCACCAAAAUUGGUCAGCAUUCGACUUUUUGUUAGCAGAGGAAGGAGGGGCUUGGGGAAAAUUGUCUACAAGCUGAUGAUAAUGGGGAUGCAGUUUUGGAUAUAGCCAGAAACAUCCAGAAAACAGCCCAUGUACCAGUCCAAAAAUGGAAAUCUAAAAUAAGUAAAGGAUGGUUAGAAGAGUUUUUUUGGAUUAUCCUGGUGGAAAAAGGAGGGCUUUGUAGUGUUAUGUGGAAUAAUAAGUUUAAUCUUCCUUCCAUGUUUGAUCCCAUGUCUUACCCAUUAAUUACUUUUGUGGUUCAAAAUAUGCCAAUAAAGACAAUGCCCUCCCAUCCAGAGUCAGAAACCACAGAAAAAAGGCAGAAAAAUACGGUGUUGAAAAAAAUGAAAGGUGAUAAAAACCUAGAGAAAGCAUUUAAGAUAUAUGAAAGGAAUGGGUAUGCCAAAAGUGCAGAGGUUCAAAAGCUGCAGCUCAAGCCAAACACAGUAAGAAAGACAAAGGGGAGGAGUUGUUAAAAAUGACCUUAUAAUAUUGGCUGUCCCAUUUGUGUAUUAGUCUUUACAUGCUGAUAUCAACUGUAAGUAUUUAAAUAUAGUGCAGUUUAUAACCCCUUUCAACUGCUUGCUAAUAUAACCUAAUUUCUCAUUUUAAGCAUGCACUGCAUGCACUGCCACAGAAAUAGCAGUGUCAUAACUGUAUUAUGUUGAUAUAUGCACUUUAUAGCUUACAGAAAUAAUAAUGUGAUGAAUGUACUGUACUGUAGGCCUUGGCAAAGCAUGAAAUGUUAAAACACCUCUGUGUAACUGGGAGAACUGUGUAAAGCAAUGAUGUUUUUUCCCACAAUGAUGAUUUUUCCCACAUCUGCUGACUGACCUCUGCAAGUGGUGAGAGUGACACAGACCAGAGCAGGGGAGGAGAAUCAGAGAACAAUUUGUUAUCAGAAAUAACGGGGUGAAGCCACAAGAAGGAAUAAAAUCUGUUGACCUGAUCCGCAGGAUGUCACGUAGGUAAGUCAGGGUGGGAAACCAAACAAAGGAAAGUUUCUGCAACAUCAAAAGCUCCCAAGAAUGUUGGAAUGAUGCACGAAACUUAUGAAUAUGUGUGUGCCUUAGUAAGGUAACAGUAUAUAGGUAACACUGUCUUAACGUACCAGCGUGUUCAUUAGGUGAUAGCCAGGAACACCCAGAGCUGGACACUGCCCUUUUUUAUUCCCUCAUUAAACUUUUGAGAACUAUUCUAAGAGUGAGCUUUCUUUCUUUUACAAUACUUAAAACUGCAAAAUUCUAAUUUUAUAUAUAUUGAGAAAUAUCCUUAAUUUAUGUAUCAAUUGUUUUACAAUAACCCCCAGUGCCUGCUGUGUUAUAGUCAGGAUUUUAGACUGUAAGAAAUUCUGAAUAUGGAUCUGUAGGGUUUGAAAAUAAGAAUACAACGUUCGUGUAUAAAGAGCUUGAAGCGGUAGGACAGGAUGGUCUGUGGGAAGGAACCAGAAACAGCUCCGUGCGCUCGGAAUUUUCUGGAACUCCCCAAAUCCGGGAUCGGCCCCGGGACGGGAAUUGGGGUCAGGGGCACCCUGACAGCGCUGCGCCCUCAGUGCUGCCGCCGUGUGGGCACAGCGGGCACUGCAGCCCCGAGCGCUGCCCGCGGCUCAGCCGGCACCGGGACUUGGACCGGGACCGGCACCGGGACCGGCACCGGGACCGGCACCGGGACCGGCACCGGGAUCGGCACCGGGACUUGGACCGGGAUCGGCACGGGGAUACGGAGCUGGACCGGGACCGGCACCGGGACGCGGAGCCGGAGCGGGCCCGGGCCGGGAUCGGGACGCGGAGCCGCAGCGGGCCCGGGCCGGGCGCUCCCGGCAGGACCCGCGGCCGCAGCCCCGGGGCGCAGGCGCGGAGCGGGAGCGGCAAUGGCGGAGCCCGGGGAGCGGCGGGGCCGGGCCGGGGACAGCGGGGGAGACUGCGGCGGGCUCGGAGAAUCCUCUGAGGCUGACACAAAGACCAGGAACCUUUGAGAUGGAAAGAGCCGGAGCAAGUGGAUGUGAGAAAGGAAAGUUAAAGAUGGGAAACGUUCAGGCAAGAGGUGCCGAAAAGAACCGGAGUUUCUGAUCUGAAGUCUCCAACUGAAAAUCCCCUAUGGAUUGUGACCAGUCCAGUUUUCAUGGACUGCUCACCUUGGCCAGGAGUGUCCAAUCCUGCUGGAAAUGCACUGCACCAGGAUGGCAUUUUCAUUUCGUGCUGGUGAAGACCCUCUGGGUGACCCCCAGGCACUGGAAGGGCUGGCCUGGGCUCCCAGAGCACUAAUUCCAGGAGUUGUGUUUUUGGGAACAGCACAGGAGCCUUUCCCUCGCUCAUAGGAGCAGCCAGUGCCUCCCUUCAUCCACAAAUGCCCAGGAUGGAACACAAGGAAAGGAACAGCAAUGUGGAAAUGCCCCACACUGGGAGUUGAUGGUGCUCUGGAUCACAUUUUGGAUUUAUAAUGUUAAAGGGGGAGUGUGGAAGGGGUUUUCUCUCUCUGCUGUUCAUUACUGUACUCACUGCCCUUGUUGCUCUCACUGUUACUGUGUGUUGACAUUAAUAUCAAAUGAUUGUAUUUGCCUUGGUUUCCAUGAUUAUUAAACUGUUCUGAGCUGGA